rnacentral:tRNA from 1 species
CAAGAUAUAAUUUAAACAGAAUACUGGCUUUGGGAGCCAGAAGUAGAGGUUAAAUUCCUUUUAUCUUGA